UGGCUCAGAUUGACGCUGGCGGCAGGCCUAACACAUGCAAGUCGAACGGUAACAGGAAGCAGCUUGCUGCUUCGCUGACGAGUGGCGGACGGGUGAGUAAUGUCUGGGAAACUGCCUGAUGGAGGGGGAUAACUACUGGAAACGGUGGCUAAUACCGCAUAACGUCGCAAGACCAAAGAGGGGGACCUUCGGGCCUCUUGCCAUCAGAUGUGCCCAGAUGGGAUUAGCUUGUUGGUGAGGUAACGGCUCACCAAGGCGACGAUCCCUAGCUGGUCUGAGAGGAUGACCAGCCACACUGGAACUGAGACACGGUCCAGACUCCUACGGGAGGCAGCAGUGGGGAAUAUUGCACAAUGGGCGCAAGCCUGAUGCAGCCAUGCCGCGUGUAUGAAGAAGGCCUUCGGGUUGUAAAGUACUUUCAGCGGGGAGGAAGGUGUUGUGGUUAAUAACCGCAGCAAUUGACGUUACCCGCAGAAGAAGCACCGGCUAACUCCGUGCCAACCGCCGCGGUAAAUCGUCGUGACUGG
rnacentral:rRNA from 1 species